rnacentral:miRNA from 1 species
UGGUCUAGUGCUGUGUGGAAGACUAGUGAUUUUGUUGUUCUGAUGUACUAUGACAACAAGUCACAGC